GAUUCCGCGAUGCUCUGGUGGCGCCCAAGGCUCAGCGGAAGUAAAACGUCAAAAGUGAGGCGGUGCCUCUGCGGAAACCAGCGCGGCGCUGGGAAAGAUGGGGGCGGUGUUGGCUGGGUCCGGGGGCAGCGGCCUGUCUUGAGGGGCUCGGCCUUGCUAGGCCUGGCCCACCCCGUCGAGCAGCCCAAGCCCAGGUUGCAGCCGCGUACCCUCUUUGCAGCGCGCGUGCUCCUUGUCGCUGGACCUGCACUCACAGUGAGUGAGUUGGUCGCCGCCCUGUGGCCGAACCGGUGGCUGGCGCUGCUGCGGCGCCUCACGGUGCUGCCAUUCGAGGGGCUGCUCUACCUGGCCAGGCUGGGCGCCGCGGCCACUGGUUGCCGGGGCUGGCAGCUGGACGUAGGUCUCCGAGGCCGCGUUGCUCGUGCUCGCCACCAUGUGCCUCGCGCUCUCACUCACCGUUCUCUCGGCGCAUUGGUACGAGCACGCGCAGUGCGCGCUCACCUGCACCCCGGGCGAAGAUGGACAGGAGAUCUCCAUGCCAUGGAGAAGAAGCAAUCCCUCCACAAGGCCUUUCCCUUGGGAAAUGUGUUCUCAUACUACCAGAGCAACAGAGAAGUUCAGGAAAACUCAGAGGUCUGCGAAGCUGAGUAGUUUGAGAGCAACAAGGCUAUUUGGCAUUUUCUAGACUUAUUUCACCCAGAUACUAGAAAUGAGCAGCUACACAGACCUGGUGUACAAGAAAUAAGAUCUAAUCUACAAAAUAAAUUUGCAUUCUGCAGCCUGACCCUCAGCACUAAAAGAGACUGCAAACUGGUGACCUGCCAGCUUGAUUCAACUAGCAGAUGUAUUUUUUACAGAGAGAGAAUGUUUUAAAAAUCAAAAGAAUUCAUGAGAAAACCUGGACUUCCAGCUCUCUUAAAAUAAGAUUUGGAAACCCAGGACCCAUAUUCCUGCCUGGCAACAAUUGGCUUGAGCUGGAUAAACGCUACCCCCUUUAAAAGGAUGACAAUAAGGGAACCUAUUCUCAGUAAUAACAGGGUGUUCAGCUGAAGUCAACUGAGGAUUUGGAGCAAGCUGGUUUGGUACAGCCUGUGUUGAGUGGCUUAAAAAUUAUAGAGUGAAGAAUUGCUUAAGAGACAAUGUUCUUAGGAAAGCCAGAUAAAGCUUAUAGGACAGAGUGUCAGGCUGGCUGUUGAAAGACGUCUGAUAACUUUCUGUCAUUUGAAGAGCUGUUGGUGGUUUGGAAAUAAAUCAUGUUAAAGUAAUCAGCUUUUGACUGUCAUGAGUCCUCAAGGGGAAGUGACAUGAAGCCUUGAUAAACCUUAAUAGUCAUGACUAUGAUAGAUGCCAUGAUUUGUCAGGCUUCCAGAUUUAUCAGGUAGCUGAUAUGAAAACUAGUUCAAACCCACCCUCAAUGACCACAAACCAUGCAGUUUAUUUCAGCCAGGACUAAACUUCCAUAAUAAGCCAGUACAUAUGGUAUGUGGCAAAGAGUGGAUGCCUGAUUACCAAAGCUAAGGAGGGUGUUAUAAAAGCAAAAAAGAGUUCAAAUAGGCUUUUUUGGAAACAUUUGGAGGAUGAAGGGUUUGGCAUAAGGAUGAGCAAGAUGAAAGGUGGCCAGGAAUCAUUUCAUUCAUUCUUUUCCUAAAUGGGAAGAUCCUGUAGCUUGAGAUUAAUGCACAUGAGAAUAGAAGCCUAGCUUUGGACUUCUGACAUAAGUCAGAGCAAUUAGAACACAUACCUCCAAAAAUCUGCAGAUGGGCAGGGACUCUGAGAGUUUCCCUCAUGACCUAACAGUGUCCUUGUACUGAGCUGGAGUUAGACAAAUCCAGAACUAGGAUUAAACAAGACACUUCCAAAAAUCAUUGAACAGGAAGGAAGUUUAAUCUUUGCUCCUACAGGCAGGAUUUCAUUUGUUUGCUCAGGUAGCAUCUGGGAGAUCAUUAAGAAAUACCUGGAUGGACAAAAGGGAACCCUUGUGCACUGUUGGUAGGAAUGUAAAUUGGUGCAGCCACUAUGGAAACCAGUAUGGAGGUUCCUCAAAAAAUUAAAAAUAGGGACUUCCCUAGAGGUCCAGGGUAAAGUAUCCACCUUACAGUGCAGGGGGCGUGGGUUCGAUCCCUGGUCAGGGAACUAAUCCCACAUGCCACAAGACAACUAAGCCUAUGUGCCACAGCUACUGAGCUUGCGCAUCUCAACUAGAGAGCCUGCGUGCUUGCAAACUACAGAGCCCACACACCCUGGAGCCCACGUGCCACAACUGGAGAGAGAAAACCUGCACGCUGCAAUGAAGAGCCUGCACACCAUAACAAAAGAUCCCGCAUGCCUCAACGAAGAUCCUGUGUGCCGCAACUAAGACCCAACACAGCCAAAAAUUUAAAAAAAAUAAAAAAUAAAAAUAGAACUACCAGAUGAUCCAGUAAUUCCACUCCUCGGUAUUUAUCCAAA